rnacentral:rRNA from 1 species
GACGAACGCUGGCGGCGUGCUUAACACAUGCAAGUCGAACGCGCUUCACCCCUUCGGGAGUGAAGUGAGUGGCGAACGGGUGAGUAACACGUGAGCAAUCUACCCUUGACUCUGGAAUAACAGCUGGAAACAGCUGCUAAUACCGGAUACGACCUUCGAUGCAUCAUCUGGAGGUGGAAGCCCGACCGGUCAAGGAUGGCGUCGCGGCCUAUCAGCUUGNGG